rnacentral:tRNA from 1 species
UCUCUGGUGGUCUAGUGGUUAGAAUUCAGCACUUUCAUUCCUCUGACCCAGGUUCAAUCCCUGGUCAGGGAA